AACGCACAUUGCGCCCUUUGGCAUUCCGAAGGGCAUGCCUGUUCGAGCGUCAUUAUCAACCCUCAAGCUUGGCUUGGUGUUGGACUGGGGCCGUGGACGACACGGCCGGUCCCGAAGAUCAUGACGGCGUCCGGAGGACCCUUGGUACACGGAGCUUUUUUCAAGCACGUACUGCAGUGGCCGACGGACGUCGUCCGACCCCUUCUUUCUCAGGUUGACCUCGGAUCAGGUAGGAAUACCCGCUGAACUUAA
rnacentral:misc_RNA from 1 species